rnacentral:tRNA from 1 species
UUUUCAAUAGCUUAGUGGUAGAGCAAAUGGCUGUUAACCGUUAGGUCGUUGGUUCAAAUCCAACUUGAAAAG